rnacentral:lncRNA from 12 species
UAUGCCCUGAGUUAUAUCUGGUGGUUAGAAAAUUAUUUAAAACCUUCUGUGUGUUUGUUCAGUUGUAGAUGCUGGAACUCAAUUUAUCCAUAAGCUGGGGAGGACCUGAACUGGCUCUAGCUGUUCUGAAAGAGAGAAGAAGCAGCCCAACAGCUCUAACGAAAAUGGUACGUUCAAGGAGAAGCUUCAGAAACCAGAUAAUCAGGUUACCAGGACCCAUGAUGCUGCUAUGAAAGACGACUGACUUCAAGGCCUUUGAGAAAGAAAAUAGAAAUUUCCAAUUUUGUUGUUCAGGUUUUUCUUUUACAGGGGUUCAUUUAGCCACACAACUAGGAGGCGAGUGCCUUGGUUGCAACUGUAAAGGGGAAGACUGAAUGACAGUGCCAGAUGCCCCAAGUUAACAGUGAGUGAGAAAAGCCCUACUGCCAGCUGCCUUUCCUGCCUUCCAAAUCUCAGACCAGCGAGAAAUCAAGACAUGGUUUAGGUCAGUGUGCUUCACCUCCCAUGAACUGGGGAUGGGGAAGUGAAGGGAAGAGUGCUGCAGAGCUGCUGCUUGUCUGCUCUCUGAAGGCUUCCUGUUAGGGACAAUCCUCAGUUGUCCAUUUAGGGCAGUAUUAGAGCUGCUGAGGCAUGCAGAGCUGCAGAUGGGGCUGAGAGUACAGCUUGAUACUUCUCUGUUCAGCCACCAGUUACAGCAUUAUCAGAUGCUCACCAGAGGUGGGUACCCAGACUGCUACAAUGGCUGAAGGCAAAGCAGGAGGUCUGCUUUUAAUGAAAAGGUAGUUUACACACAGCAUUUUUCUUUUUAUAAUGAUAAAAUGGAUAUGAAACAGUUACACUCCAGGCCCUUACUUUUAUUUAGUGCUGUUUAUUUUUUUCGAACACUGAAAACAAAACAAGCAAAAAGAGAGGAGGGGAAAAAAAAAGGAAAAAGAAAACUCCCUUCAGACAACAAUCACCUUUUGAGUUAAAUUCUCAUGCUUGGUCUUAGCCCAGAGGGAUUUGUCUUGAGUGAAGUUCGAAGAAAAUCCUUUCAGCAGUUUGAGUUACUUAUAUGUAACCAUG